rnacentral:rRNA from 1 species
UCGACCUCAAAUCAGGUAGGACUACCCGCUGAACUUAAGCAUAUCAAUAAGCGGAGGAAAAGAAACCAACAGGGAUUGCCUUAGUAGCGGCGAGUGAAGCGGCAAAAGCUCAAAUUUGAAAUCUGGCACUUUCAGUGUCCGAGUUGUAAUUUGAAGAAGGUAUCUUUGGGUCUGGCUCAUGUUACGUGUUCGUU